rnacentral:tRNA from 1 species
GCCCAGGUGGCUCAGUUGGUUAAGCGUCUGACUUCAGCUCAGGUCAUGAUUUCACCAUUCGUGAGUUCAAGCCCCACAUUGGGCU